CCUACGGGAGGCAGCAGUGGGGAAUAUUGCGCAAUGGGCGAAAGCCUGAUGCAGCGACGCCGCGUGAGGGAUGAAGGUCUUCGGAUUGUUAACCUCUGUCAGUAGGGAAGAACGGUCACUGUGCUAAUCAGCAGUGAAUUGACGGUACCUGCAAAGGAAGCACAGGCUAACUCCGUGCCAGCAGCCGCGGUAAUACGGAGGGUGCGAGCGUUAAUCGGAAUUACUGGGCGUAACGCGCUCGUAGGCGGUAUGUCAAGUCAAGGGUGAAAGCCCCGGGCUCAACGUGGGAACUGCCUUUGAAACUGGCAGACUGGAGUGUAGGAGAGGAUAGUGGAAUUCCAGGUGUAGGAGUGAAAUCCGUAGAUAUCUGGAGGAACAUCAGUGGCGAAGGCGACUAUCUGGCACAUAACUGACGCUGAGGAGCGAAAGCGUGGGUAGCAAACAGGAUUAGAUACCCGUGUAGUC
rnacentral:rRNA from 1 species